GCAAUCUGCCUUUCACAGAGGGAUAGCCCAGAGAAAUUUGGAUUAAUACCUCAUAGCAUAAUCAAACCGCAUGGUUUGAUUAUUAAAGUCACAACGGUGAAAGAUGAGCAUGCGUCCCAUUAGCUAGUUGGUAAGGUAACGGCUUACCAAGGCAACGAUGGGUAGGGGUCCUGAGAGGGAGAUCCCCCACACUGGUACUGAGACACGGACCAGACUCCUACGGGAGGCAGCAGUGAGGAAUAUUGGUCAAUGGGCGCAAGCCUGAACCAGCCAUGCCGCGUGCAGGAUGACGGUCCUAUGGAUUGUAAACUGCUUUUGUACGGGAAGAAACACUCCGACGUGUCGGAGCUUGACGGUACCGUAAGAAUAAGGAUCGGCUAACUCCGUGCCAGCAGCCGCGGUAAUACGGAGGAUCCAAGCGUUAUCCGGAAUCAUUGGGUUUAAAGGGUCCGUAGGCGGUCUUGUAAGUCAGUGGUGAAAGCCCAUCGCUCAACGGUGGAACGGCCAUUGAUACUGCAGGACUUGAAUUAUUGGGAAGUAACUAGAAUAUGUAGUGUAGCGGUGAAAUGCUUAGAGAUUACAUGGAAUACCAAUUGCGAAGGCAGGUUACUACCAAUUGAUUGACGCUGAUGGACGAAAGCGUGGGUAGCGAACAGGAUUAGAUACCCUGGUAGUCCACGCCGUAAACGAUGGAUACUAGCUGUUGGGAGCAAUUUCAGUGGCUAAGCGAAAGUGAUAAGUAUCCCACCUGGGGAGUACGAACGCAAGUUUGAAACUCAAAGGAAUUGACGGGGGCCCGCACAAGCGGUGGAGCAUGUGGUUUAAUUCGAUG
rnacentral:rRNA from 1 species